AACGUACGCUGGCGGCACGCCUAACACAUGCAAGUCGAACGAAGUAGCAAUACUUAGUGGCAGACGGGUGAGUAACAUGUGGGUAUCUGCCCUUUGGCCUGGAAUAACACGAGGAAACUUGUGCUAAUACCGGAUAAGUCUUUACGGAGAAAGCUUUAUGCACCAUUGGAUGAGCCUGCACUUGAUUAGUUUGUUGGUGGGGUAAUGGCCUACCAAGACUGUGAUCAAUAGCUGAUUUGAGAGGAUGAUCAGCCACAUUGGGACUGAGACACGGCCCAAACUCCUACGGGAGGCAGCAGUGGGGAAUCUUGCACAAUGGAGGAAACUCUGAUGCAGCGAUGCCGCGUGAGUGAAGAAGGCCCUUGGGUUGUAAAGCUCUUUCGUCGGGGAAGAAAAUGACUGUACCCGAAUAAGAAGGUCCGGCUAACUUCGUGCCAGCAGCCGCGGUAAUACGAAGGGGGCUAGCGUAGUUCGGAAUUACUGGGCUUAAAGAGUUCGUAGGUGGUUGAAAAAGUUAGUGGUGAAAUCCCAGAGCUUAACUCUGGAACUGCCAUUAAAACUUUUCAGCUAGAGUAUGAUAGAGGAAAGCAGAAUUUCUAGUGUAGAGGUGAAAUUCGUAGAUAUUAGAAAGAACACCAAUGGCGAAGGCGGCUCUACUGGAUCAUUACUGA
rnacentral:rRNA from 1 species